rnacentral:lncRNA from 1 species
AUUUAAAUCGCCAAGUUCCAAGAUAAAAUUGUGUGAGAGACACUGCAGCAAGAGUUGGCACUAAUUCAUAACUUGAGCUACACUAAACCACAUGACAGUAUUUUGAUAUUCUUGUAUAAACCAGUUUAUUUCUUCUAUCAUUAGUCUGUUAAAUGCCAGACCUCAUUUCUGUGGUCUGUUGAAUGAAUCCUAGACAGUUCUGUGAGAAAGCAGCAAUUACACAGUUAUAUACAUGGUCAGUUAAAUUUUAACAUUAAUGAUAAUUUAGUUUUAAAAAAAAAAUACUGGCCAGGCACGGUGGCUCACACCUGUAAUACCAGCACUUUGGGAGGCCGAGGCGGGUGGAUCACGAGGUCUGAGGCGGGCAGAUCACGAGAUCAGGAGAUCGAGACCAUCCUGGCUAACAUGGUGAAACCCCAUCUCUACUAAAGAUACAAAAAAUUAGCCGGGUGUGGUGGCAGGCACCUGUGGUCCCAGCUACUUGGGAGGCUGAGGCAGGAGAAUGGUGCAAACCCGGGAGGCAGAGCUUGCAGUGAGCAGAGGUUGUGCCACUGCAUUCCAGCCUGGGUGACAGAGUAAGACUCCAUCUCAAAAAAAAAGAAAAAACAGGGAAAUCAUCACAACCAGAUCAGCCCGACAAGAAAUGCUUAAGGGAAUCCUACAUCUGGAAGAGAAAGCCAUACUGAGGCAGGAAAGUAAAGAAAGAAAAAUAAAAUUAAAAAAAGAAAAACAAGCUUUCUAUAUUAGGCUGACUCAUCCCAAAGGCAGUUAACAGUCAAAGCCUGGACCCAGACAAAGUCUCGAUAACAUUAUCAAAUAAGCAAAGGCUCAAAGGAAUGUGCUCUGGAGACUCUCCCAGCACUUCCUCAACAUAGGGAGAAAAAAACAAAUUUUCCUUUCCCUUAUGAGUAAACAUAUGAGUUUAUAGAUUCCGGUUUUCUGUAACCAGUAACUUCAAGUACUCUGUUUUAACUAAGCAGCACAGUGAAGGUUGUAAGACAUGCCUGAGCAGGCCUGGGCUGCGGCAGUCUGGGUGCCAUAGCGAACGUUAUGAGAUAAGCCCAUGCAAGGCUCUUUUGAGCAAGCCUAGAUAACAGCCAUGUGAGCUGCACAGCAAGGGUCAUAUGUAAUCCUGGCUCAUGAACCUGUCACAGUUUGAUUAGCUGCCUUUGUUCUGCCCCUGUAUCUUUGCUUCACGCCACCAUAAGCUUGUUUCAAGCUAGCCCACCCCCUUUUAGAAGUGUGUAUAAAAGUCAAGUACUGUCUUUGUCUGGGCCCAGUUUUUGAAUGUUAUCAGCUGGGUCUGAGUGCACUCAAUAAAAAUCCUCUUGUCUCACCCCAUUGUCUCUCCAGUCCUCCUUCAUUCCCACAUUAAUACCACCCUGAACACGCCCAAUCUCAUCUGAUCUUCAAAUAGACAGGAUGGUAUCUACCAUCAUGAAAACAAACAAAGGCUUAAAACUCACUAAUAGAACAGAAACACAAAUGAGAAAAAGGAAUCAAACAUUAUGACUAUUUAAAAAACCACCAAAUUGUAAAGUAAACAAUACAAAAGAAGAUAGGUGAAACCCCAUCUCUACUAAAAGUACAAAAAUUAGCUGGGUGUGGUGGUGGGCACCUGUAAUCCCAGCCACUUGGGAGGUUGAGGCAGGAGAAUUGCUUGAACUUGGGAGGCAGAGGUUGCAGUGAGCCGAGAUCCUGCCACUGCACUCCAGCCUGGGAGACACAGCAACACUCUGUCUCAAAAUAAAAAAUAAAAAUAAAUAAAAAAGAUAGGAAAAAAUAUAUACAAGACAAUCAGAAAACAAAUGCACAGGACUAAGUCCUCACCUAUCAAUAAAAACCCUGAAUGUAAAUAAUUUAAAUUCUCCAAUUAAAAUACAUAGACUGGCUGAAUGGAUUUUAAAAAAACAAGAUUCAACUAUAUGUUACCUAUAACAAACUCACUUCACAUGUAAAAACACAUAUAGACUGAAAGUGAACAGAUGGAAAAAAAUAUUCCGUGCAAAUUUAAACCAAAAAUGUGCAGGAGUAGCUAUACUUAUUCAUAAUAGACUAAGUCAGAAAACAUAAAAAGGGACAAAGAAGAUCAUUACAUAAUGAAAAAGGGAUCAAUUCAGCAAAAGGAUGUAACAAUUUUAAAUAUAUAUGCACCCAAUACCAAAGUACUCACAUGUAUAAACAAACACUAUUAGAGCUAAAGAGAGAGGCAGAUCCUAAUACAAAAAAAAGCAGGGGAUUUUAAUGCCUCACUUUCAGUAUUGGGCAGAUCAUCUAGAAAGAAACAUCAGACUUAAUCUGCAUUAUAGACCAAAUGGACCUAACAGACAUUUACAGACCCUUUCUUCCAACA